ACAGAGUGUGCACUAUCAUCGUAACAGCAGAGACGGAGAGCAAGAUGUGAGGAGGUUAAAAGUCAGGGUCAGAAGUUCAGGUUGCUCUGACCCUCAAAUCAAUUUCAAGCACUGUUUGUGACAUUUUCCUGUGUUCCCUCGCUUGAUGUUAGUCUUUGCAAUGAACCACCGAAUCAGACUUCAGGGCUCAUGGGACUUUGGGGUUUCAGUAGGGUCAGGUCAAUUUCUACCUACCAGUGUACUGUCACCUAUGAGGCAAACCAUUAUCUAGGCGUUUGAGAACCUCAAAGUUUUGAAGCUCUGAGGGGAAAGAGAGAGGAUGAAGCGCUGGGGCCCCUGUGUCUUUGGGGCCUGACAUAGCUCAACCUGUGGCUUCAGGGGGACCGUGUGCAGCCAGGUCACAGUGGUACCGGAAAGGGAUCCUGAUCCAGACCCCAAGAGAGGGUUCUUGGAUCUCGUGCAAGAAAAAAUUCAGGGUGAGUCUAUAGAAUAAAGUGAAAGCAAGUUUAUUAGAAAAGUAAAGAAACAAAAGAAUGGCUAUUCCGUAGGCAGAGCAGCCCCGAGGGCUGCCGGCUGCCUAUUUUUAUGGUUAUUUCUUGAUUAUAUGCUAAACAAGGGGUGGAUCAUUCAUGAGUUUUCUGAGAAACGGGUGGGGAUUUCCUUGAAACUGAGGGGUCCUCCAGCUUUUAGACCGUAUAGGGUAACUUCCUGAUGUUGCCAUGGCAUUUGUAAACUGUCAUGGUGCUGGUGGGGGUGUCUUUUAGCAGCUAAUACAUUAUAAUUAGCAUAUAAUAAGCAACGAGGACUACCAGAGGUCACUUUCAUCGCUACCUUGUUUUUGGUGGAUUUUGACGGACUUCUUUAUUGCAACCUGUUUUACAGCAAGGUCUUUGUGACCUGUAUCUUGUGCUGACCUUCUGUCUCUUCCUGUGACUUAGAAUGCCUGACCUCCUCGGAAUGCACCUGAGUAGGACUCAGCCUCAUUUUGCCUAGCCCCUGCUCAAGAUAGAGUCACUCUGGUUGGAAGGCCUUUGGCAAUAGGAUUGGCAACUCAGAGAAAGCUGGUCCCUGGCAUGGGCAUCUCUCCCAAGGCAUUCUUCCAAAGCUGAUGGCACUAAGGCUGAACCCAGAAGCUGCAGCAGUGGACGGAUGAUGAUCUGAAGAAAUGAGAUCCCUGAUGGGCUUGGAAGUCAUGGUUCCUGUAACCAUGAUGUCACACCCUCGUCCUGACACCGAGAUGGGCUGGACACAUCUGUCACCCAGGGCAAACAAAAUGCUUGGUCUGCAUCUUUCAGAAGAAAACUAAAAAUCAAGUAAUUUCUUAGAAGUUUGCUUGCGUGUGGCUUAAGUCUUCUUCUCCUGUUGAGGAAGGUGUUGAGUUUGACCAUGACAGCCCCACCCAGUCCUUGGCUCAUCUCACCCAUCAAAGAGGAUCUGGAGAUUCAGAGCUAUGCCGUGGAAGACCUUGUCAGAGCACCAGGCCAUACUGUGCUGCAGGUGGGGUUCAGGUGCCCAGUGACAACCACCGGGGCCGCUCAUCCCUAAACGUCUGUUGAACUUAAAGUUCUACUCAAGACUUUCUACAUUAAAUACCCUUUCAUACAGCAAAAUCAGCCAUGUUCUGAGAUGUGAAACUGCAGCACAAAGUUACUGUGGUCUCCACCUAUAGAAAUGGAAUGUUACUUCAUAAAGCCCCAGGCCAAAAAAGAAACCCCAAAACUCUGAAACGACACCCUUAAAUUUAACCUGAACAUCUGGCCAGCCUCCUCCAUCAUUGAAACUUCUCCUGAGUGUUGGCAUGGAUCCUAUGUUUCUCCAGCCAGGGAGCUUUGCUCCCCAUUCUUGAUGGACCCACUGAGUCCCAAUUUUCUACAUUUUACUUGGGUCAUUCCACCACUUUGGGAUGCUUUUCCUACUCUGUUGUACUUUAAAAAUGUUUCUUCUUUCCUAUUCUCAGCUUCACGCAUUUGUCUUCUUUCUCAAUUCAACUUGCUUAGUUCUCGCUACAUCAAUUCCUAGAGCCAUCCAUCUGCACUUCUGAAUCAUUUAAGUUUUGUUUGGCUACAAGUAAUGGAAACCCACUCUGAGUAACUCAAGCAAGAACUGGAAUUUAUUGGAAGGACAGUGGGAUAUAUCAUAAGAUCCAAAAAGAAUUGAACAAAUAAAAUUUCAGAGGGAAGAAAAAGGGCAGCUCCAGUGACUUCAGCAACAAGACAACAUAAGUCUUUCUAGAGCAUAGCUACUAAUAUUAUUCAGCUGCAAGAGCCCCUCCCCAUGAGAAACUUGAUUGAAAAUUCUGAUUUCCCACAGAGAAGAAUCUGAUCGACUCAGUUUAGCUUUGGUUGCCCAACUGCUCAAUCUUGCAUGAAUUAUUUCCAGCCAAGGGGACAAGGUGUAUUAUAGGGACACACCUGCUUUCUCCAAAGAAAAGAUCUGGGCAUUUCCUGAUCAUUUCCCUGAGAAGGAGGAAUCAUUGUGAGCCAAGAAGAUACCUCAAGUAUAAUGAGCUCAGUUACACUUUUUUGAUAUCUGAGUAUUUGGUAUGUAGUGUGCAUUUUAAAAAACAUGUCUCUCUCCAGGACAAUGUUAACCUCUUCCACGGUGGAGUGGGGCUAUGUGAUUUUGUGCUUAAUUUACCUAGCUGGUGGGCCUCCAGUAGAGGCUGUAGUCGAGCCAGCUGAUACCACAUCAGUUCUCCAAAGGAACAAAAGCUGCCCUUCCUUCCUUAUUGCAAAGUUUGACAAAAAGCAAAACGUGAAGAAUAAAAGCGACUUGCAUUGUCUAACAUCUACCGCAGUGUUUGAGCUGCAGCUGCUCCUCCUCCCCUGAUUGUUUUCAAAUAUUUCUUCAAAAAAGGCAUUAAAGAAAAACACAAGAUAUUGCACAGGGAACCAAAACAAAUCACAAUCUUCAAGGACAAAGCAUUGCAAAAUGGCUUACAUCCCCAAAUGGGAACAGAUAUGGUUGGAAAUUAAAACAAUCUUUUUUAUUUUAAGCGGAAAUGCUAGCAGAUGCCACAAGAAACAUAUGGAACUCGCCACAGACAAAUAGGGAAUGCUUUCUGCGUGUGGAAGUAGAGCAAAGGGAGUGACCACCUCUGACUGUCAGGGGGAACCAUCAGCUCGAACUGUUUGCUAUGGCAGGAGGGAGUUUGCAGAGUCCGGAGUCCUGCCCUCAUGAAAAAGCUUUAACGGUCUUGACUGAGUAAUUUAAGUCAUUCUUGUCAGGGAGUUUCAGAACACUAUGCACAAUUAUAUUUAUUUCACAAUGCAUUGAUUCCAGAUAUCUUUUUAAAUGUGCUUACCUCUGUGUGCGUUGUUACCUGUUCCCUCUUUGAAUCUCUGAAUGAAACAAAAUAAAUAGGAAAAAAUGGAGACAUAGAAGCAUUGUCCACAAGGCAUCUCCCACUCUAGAGGUCUCCCAGCCCCGUGCUAGCUUGUUAAUUUAUUAUCGCUUGUCUGUCAAACAAGGAAGAUAUAAUUUGCCACACAACAUGUUUUCCUAAAGCAAUGUUUUUGUACAAUUUCCUGAUUUCCAAAAAUAUGACCAAUGAUAUUCUGGUUGAGUUUUGUUGUUGUUGUUGUUGUUGUUUUAAUUUCUCUGAAAAUGGCAGCGAUAUAGCAAUCAUUCCCUUCCCCAUGUACCACGUGGAAUAAUUUUACUGUGAGACUCAGAGAAGGCAAUCACAAGCCAUCGUUCCUUAAGUAGUAUUUAUCCUUCCCAAAUAGUUCACUGGGGGGCGAGACAGGAAUAAAAUGCUUUCUAUAUACAAAAGUAUUGUUUCUAAAGAUGAAAAAAGCCUGAAAUCCUGACUGACAUUCAAGUUGGAGGUGCUGUGAAUAUGUGGAAAAAUAGGA
rnacentral:lncRNA from 1 species